UACAGAGGUGUCAAGCGUUGCUCGGUAUCACUGGGCUUAAAGGGCGCGUAGGCUGUGCGGUACGGUUCGGGUGAAAUCCCUCGGCUCAACCGAGGAACUGCCCGGGCGACGGCCGCGCUGGACUGCAUCAGGGGACGAUGGAACUCCCGGUGGAGCGGUGAAAUGCGUAGAUAUCGGGAGGAACGCCGGUGGCGAAAGCGAUCGUCUGGGGUGCAUGUGACGCUGAGGCGCGAAAGCUAGGGGAGCAAACGGG
rnacentral:rRNA from 1 species